GAUGAACGCUGGCGGCGUGCCUAAUACAUGCAAGUCGAGCGGUAAGGUUCUGCACUUAUUAUUUGAACCGGUAAGUCUGUAAAGAUACUGCUGGAAACAUAGUCACUGGCUAGUGAUUAUGGUCGAAUAAUGUGUGUAGAAUACACGAGCGGCGGACGGCUGAGUAACGCGUAGGAACGUACCCCAAAGUGAGGGAUAAGCACCAGAAAUGGUGUCUAAUACCGCAUGUGCUCCACGGAGUAAAGCUUUAUGCGCUUUGGGAACGGCCUGCGUCUGAUUAGCUUGUUGGUGAGGUAAAAGCUCACCAAGGCGACGAUCAGUAGCUGGUCUGAGAGGAUGACCAGCCAGACUGGGACUGAGAACGGCCCAGACUCCUACGGGA
rnacentral:rRNA from 1 species